rnacentral:rRNA from 1 species
CAGCAGCCGCGGUAAUACGAAGGGGGCUAGCGUUGCUCGGAUUUACUGGGCGUAAAGGGUGCGUAGGCGGACCGUUUAGUUGGGGGUGAAAGCCCGGGGCUCAACCUCGGAAUUGCCUUCAAUACUGGCGGUCUUGAGUAUGGAAGAGGUAAGUGGAACUCCGAGUGUAGAGGUGAAAUUCGUAGAUAUUCGGGAGAACACCAGUGGCGAAGGCGGCUUACUGGCUCAUUCUAGACGCUGAGGUGCGAAAGCGUGGGAAGCAAACAGGAUUAGAUACCCCAGUAGUCCCUGUCUCUUAUAA